rnacentral:SRP_RNA from 23 species
GAAUUCCUCAUUUGAGGCAUCGUAAUUGUUUGGUCUGCCCUUGACAAGUGGUGUUGAAGGUUGGGUCUUGCGCAAUGGGAACCUGUGAACCAUGUCAGGUCCGGAAGGAAGCAGCAUUAAGCAGUGCUUCUCAUGUGCCGCGAGGUCGCCUGGCCCGAGCUAACUAUCAGGGUAACGCAGAUGAUUGCAUGUCGAUGUGAGGUGCGCGA